rnacentral:rRNA from 1 species
GAUGAACGCUGGCGGCGUGCCUAAUACAUGCAAGUCGAGCGAACAGACGAGGAGCUUGCUCCUCUGACGUUAGCGGCGGACGGGUGAGUAACACGUGGAUAACCUACCUAUAAGACUGGGAUAACUUCGGGAAACCGGAGCUAAUACCGGAUAAUAUAUUGAACCGCAUGGUUCAAUAGUGAAAGACGGUUUUGCUGUCACUUAUAGAUGGAUCCGCGCCGCAUUAGCUAGUUGGUAAGGUAACGGCUUACCAAGGCAACGAUGCGUAGCCGACCUGAGAGGAUGAGAGGCGGCACUGGAAAUGAGGGAGGGAGAGGAGAACUGAGGGAGGAGGCAGUGGGGAUGAGGUGAGAAUGGGGGCAAACCUGAUGAAGUGAUAAGGAGUGAGUAAAGAAGGCCUUAGGAUCGUAGAGCCGUUUUAUUGGGAAAGAACAGCAGAACGUUAAUACCUAGCCGUUGUGACGGUACCAAAAGAAUAAGCAACGGCUAACUUCGUG